CCCAUGCCCAUGCCCAUGCCAUCCACCGGCAAUUAUCGAAUGAGGAGUAGAAGGAGGAGGAAGAGGGACACAUCCACUUUUCUUUCUUCUUCGUCAUCUUCUGCUGGGUCUUCUCCCCAACUGGAUGAGGUGAGAUGUCCUUCAAAAGCAUUGUACGCGAGCUGAGGGAGAUGAAAGAUGGAAUGGGAGUAUAUCAAAACGAAGGGUGGAAGGCAAGCACUGGUGUAACCUAACCCGAUCACAUAUUGCCCCUGAUGUAGCCCCUUCUGAGCCAGUUGAACAAGGAAAGUGGGCUAACUUGCCUUCGGAAUUGCUUUUGGAUAUAAUUCAGAGGGUUGAAGAGAGCGAAACAACCUGGCCUGCAAGGACCGAUGUUGUCUUUUGUGCAUCAGUUUGCAAAUCAUGGAGGGAUAUUACAAAGGAGAUUGUCAAGACUCCAGAGGAAUGUGGGAGACUGACCUUUCCCAUUUCAUUGAAACAGAUUCAAGGAUUAUAUCCCUGCAAAGUAUCAUUCCUUAUAUGAGCAGUACCUUAAAAGAAGUGACAACGCAGUCGCCAUGUGAAGUUGGCUGUACAAAAGGUGAUGAUGCUGGUCUUUCAAAUGCGCACAUGAUUAUGGCAGAGAUUCCAAAUGCUUCAGAAGCGGUGGUAUAGGUUAUUCAAUUAUGGUAUUGGGAUACAUCUUUUGCAAUCUGAAGACCCUGAAAACAUGCCCAAGAUUUGCCAUAUUAAUCCCAAAGAUAAUCAUAUUUCUUUCCAAGAGGCGAAAUUUCAAAUAUGGUGAAGAAUGAAGAUUCAGGUAGCCCUCGCUGGAGUGCUUCGCUCUUUAUGCAGACAACAGAAGAUGUUGCAAGAGCUGUUGCUGCUGCAGCUGCUGCAGCUGCUGCUGCCACUACUGUUCGUUCACCCCGACCAUCUGUGGUAUUCUCAUCAAAAGAUGACAACGACAAUAGUCCACUACAUAAACUUCAACACCAAGUUUCUAGAGUACUAAAAGGCUUUUCACAGCCUCUUGAAGUGAAAAGUGGAACUUAUAACCCAGAAGUACUAACUAGCCAAAAGCGUCAAUGGGCAAGCGUCCAAUUGCAGUCCCUGGAUCAUAGGCCUUUAAAAGAGCCAUCAAGGCUUUUUGAGAGCAUGGUGGUUGUUGGACUUCAUCCUAAUUGUGAUAUUCAGGCACUUCAGAAGCAGUACUUUGGGAGAAAGUCUGAAGGUUCGGGUAAAUUUCGAAGUGCAUUCAGUGGUCAGCAUCAGUCUCGUGUAGAACCUAACCUUGAACCCCAGGUCUUAUUUGUUUAUCCUCCUGAAAAACAGCUGCCACUUAAGUAUAAGGAUCUUCUUUCAUUCUGCUUUCUUGGAGGUGUGGAGGUUCAUGCUAUUGAAAAAACUUCUUCAAUGAGCGAGUUGAAUGAAAUACUUCUUGGGCAGUGGAACCACCGGCAUCAGUGUCGGUUUCAGUUUCCUUGGCCGUGACUUCUACAACGCCCUUGCCAACAAAGACCAAGAACAGUUCACCAAGCAACUGUUGUACUACCUCGGUGCUUUUGCUGGUGGAAUUCCAGUGAGCAAAUUGCUCUACUUUCUUAGAUUUUUGUGUUGAGAGAGACUAUGCCAGAGAAACUCUUUCUUUGAGGUGGAGGUCUUGGAUGACAAACUAUUACAUAGAUCGCUAUCUAAAGAAUAGGACAUUCUACAAAAUACAGUCCCAAUCAAUAAUUGACAAUCCAGAUCAGCGGAUUGUUGAUGAUCUAAGUUCCUUUACUGGGACAGCACUUUCAUUCUCUUUGACACUAUUCAAUGCUGCAGUAGAUUUGGUAUCAUUUAGCAACAUCCUGUACGGUAUCUAUCCGCCAUUGUUUGCUGUACUUGUUGUUUAUUCAAUCAGUGGAACAGCAAUUAGUGUUUUCCUUGGGAGGGUGAGUUCCUCUUCUUUGACGGUCAUAUUUUUGAAACUGCAGUGAAGCUUCUUGGAAUAAAAGGUGGUAUUUACUCCAAAUGGUGGGAAAUGUUUCAUCUGGAAUUUCAGGGACUAGUAACCUUAAACUUUUUGCAAGAGAAAAAAGAAGCAGAUUUCCGUUUUGGACUGGUACGUCUUCGAGAAAAUGCUGAGUCAAUUGCAUUCUACGCUGGUGAGGACAAUGAAAAGCAACUACUGCUGCAACGCUUCAGAAGUGCUUUUGAAAACUUAACUGUAUGGAUUACCUUUUAUUCUUUUGAUGUUUCUGCUUCCAUAAUAAACACCUUUAUAUAGAAGGUUUAUUGCUAUUAUAUUCCUUGUUGAUGAUCUA